ACAGGCCCAGGCCCGCCCCCAGCCCGGCGCUUGCCGCCCGCCUCUGCCCAACAUGGCGAUGCACAACAAGGCGGCACCCCCGCAGAUCCCGGACACCCGGCGGGAGCUGGCGGAGCUGGUGAAGCGCAAGCAGGAGCUGGCGGAAACACUGGCAAACUUGGAGAGGCAGAUCUAUGCUUUUGAAGGAAGCUACUUGGAAGACACGCAGAUGUAUGGCAACAUUAUUCGGGGCUGGGAUCGGUACCUGACCAACCAAAAAAAUUCCAAUAGCAAAAAUGAUCGAAGGAAUCGGAAGUUUAAGGAGGCUGAGCGUCUCUUCAGUAAAUCUUCAGUUACUUCAGCAGCUGCAGUAAGUGCAUUGGCAGGAGUUCAGGACCAGCUUAUUGAAAAGAGGGAGCCAGGAAGUGGGACAGAAAGUGAUACUUCUCCAGACUUCCACAAUCAGGAAAAUGAACCCAGCCAGGAGGACCCUGAGGAUCUGGAUGGAUCUGUGCAGGGAGUGAAACCUCAGAAAGCUGCUUCUUCUACUUCCUCAGGGAGUCAUCACAGCAGCCAUAAAAAACGAAAGAAUAAAAAUCGGCACAGCCCGUCUGGCAUGUUUGAUUAUGACUUUGAGUAUGUAUAUUAGGUUAGGCUGGGAAGUUUUUUUUAAAAACAGAAAAACGUGAUGGAGGAUUGAUCUGAAGUUAAACAAAAAACCACGAGCUGAUUAUUAGAAGACUGAUUAGAAAACUGCAGAAGCUUCCAGACUUUAGACUCCUGCUUCCCUUCUCCAACCUCACAGAGAUAAACAUCCCUCACCUGAGUGCGUGGCCAUCCCCCCCUCUGCUUUCCCAGACCCAGUGCCUGUGACUGAGUAGUUUGUGUUAUAAAAUGUGAUUACAAACAGGACAUUUCUCUAAAAUCACACCAGAUCCUUUGUUUUGUGUUGUUUUUAGUAACAGAGCUGCAGGACAUGACGUGGUUAUAUAAACCCAGCAAGUUGCUAACUGUGCAUUUCUCCCGUCUCAAAAUGAGUGCCUCCUCCCAAAUUGGCUGGCACCUACUUAAUCUGUGAUACCUAUCAAGAAUGUUCUUUGGUUUUGUUUUAUGCUGGAAGUAGAACACAGGUCACGUUUCAGAAGGAGGCUGUAAAUAACUGGCAUUUUCUUAUUUGGUUUGUGUUUUAUUAUUUUUUCUACUGUUGUUUUUACCAUUGUAUGUUGGGGAUUUUUUUUUUUUGUAAUGCUGUUAUACAGCUCAGACCUUCCUGCUGGUAUAUCUGAUAAUCUGUUUCGUGCAGUUGCCAAUAUUCUUAACUGAAAAUAAUCUAGUUUACCAUAAAUAAAAUGGGGAACUUGA